UCCCAGGUGGCCUAGCAGUUAAAGACCUAGCAUUGUCACUGCUGUGGCAUGGGUUUGACUCCUGGUCUGGGAA
rnacentral:tRNA from 1 species